rnacentral:rRNA from 1 species
GGCCUAUUGAAUAUAAUUUUAGGUCGAUCUGCCCAAUGAUUUUAAAUUUAAUGGCUGCGGUAUUUUGACUGUACAAAGGUAGCAUAAUCAAUUGUUUUUUAAUUGGAAACUGGAAUGAAAGAAUUAAUGAGAUAUAUACUGUCUCAUAUAUAAUAAAUGAAUUUAAAUUUUUAGUUAAAAUGCUUAAAUUAUUUUAUGGGACGAUAAGACCCUAUAGAAUUUUAUAUUAAUAUAAAUAGUUAUGUUUAUAAAAUUUUUAUAUUAAUAUUUAGUUGGGAGGAUUAGUAAAUUUAAGAAACUUUACUUUAAAUUUAAACUUUGAUUUAAGAAUUUUUUUUUGAUCUUGUAUUAUAAAAAUAAGAGUAAAUUACCUUAGGGAUAACAGCGUAAUAUCUUUUUAAAGGUCAUAUUAAUAAAGAUGAUUGCGACCUCGAUGUUGAAU